ACAUGCCUACAACAUAGCAUUAAUGCAACGUAUCUCAUUAUAAAUACGUAGUAAAGCGCACUCAAGAUAUAGUAGUACUGGGAUGGGUGACUUCCCAAGAAGUCCUAGUGUUUUGCAUGCC
rfam:Picea glauca, whole genome shotgun sequence.